rnacentral:rRNA from 2 species
GCAAGUCUGGUGCCAGCAGCCGCGGUAAUUCCAGCUCCAAUAGCGUAUAUUAAAGUUGUUGCAGUUAAAAAGCUCGUAGUUGAACCUUGGGUCUGGCUGGCCGGUCCGCCUCACCGCGAGUACUGGUCCGGCUGGACCUUUCCUUCUGGGGAACCUCAUGGCCUUCACUGGCUGUGGGGGGAACCAGGACUUUUACUGUGAAAAAAUUAGAGUGUUCAAAGCACGCCUUUGCUCAAAUACAUUAGCAUGGAAUAAUAGAAUAGGACGUGCGGAUCUAUUUUGUUGGUUUCUAGGACCGCCCUAAUGAUUAAUAGGGAUAGUCGGGGGCGUCAGUAUUCAGCUGUCAGAGGUGAAAUUCUUGGAUUUGCUGAAGACUAACUACUGCGAAAGCAUUUGCCAAA